rnacentral:hammerhead_ribozyme from 1 species
ACUCAGCUGAUGAGUUCCAAAUAGGACGAAACGCGCGUCCUGGAU